rnacentral:rRNA from 1 species
AGUCGUAACAAGGUUUCCGUAGGUGAACCUGCGGAAGGAUCAUUACCGAGUGCGGGCCCUCGCGGCCCAACCUCCCACCCUUGUCUCUAUACACCUGUUGCUUUGGCGGGCCCACCGGGGCCACCUGGUCGCCGGGGGACGCACGUCUCCGGGCCCGCGCCCGCCGAAGCGCUCUGUGAACCCUGAUGAAGAUGGGCUGUCUGAGUACUGUGAAAAUUGUCAAAACUUUCAACAAUGGAUCUCUUGGUUCCGGCAUCGAUGAAGAACGCAGCGAAAUGCGAUAAGUAAUGUGAAUUGCAGAAUUCCGUGAAUCAUCGAAUCUUUGAACGCACAUUGCGCCCCCUGGCAUUCCGGGGGGCAUGCCUGUCCGAGCGUCAUUUCUGCCCUCAAGCACGGCUUGUGUGUUGGGUGUGGUCCCCCCGGGGACCUGCCCGAAAGGCAGCGGCGACGUCCGUCUGGUCCUCGAGCGUAUGGGGCUCUGUCACUCGCUCGGGAAGGACCUGCGGGGGUUGGUCACCACCAUGUUUUACCACGGUUGACCUCG